ACACAUGCAAGUCGAGGGGCAGCAUUUUAGUUUGCUUGCAAACUGAAGAUGGCGACCGGCGCACGGGUGAGUAACACGUAUCCAACCUACCGAUAACUCCGGAAUAGCCUUUCGAAAGAAAGAUUAAUACCGGAUAGCAUACGAAUAUCGCAUGAUAUUUUUAUUAAAGAAUUUCGGUUAUCGAUGGGGAUGCGUUCCAUUAGUUUGUUGGCGGGGUAACGGCCCACCAAGACUACGAUGGAUAGGGGUUCUGAGAGGAAAGUCCCCCACAUUGGAACUGAGACACGGUCCAAACUCCUACGGGAGGCAGCAGUGAGGAAUAUUGGUCAAUGGGCGAGAGCCUGAACCAGCCAAGUAGCGUGAAGGAUGAAGGCUCUAUGGGUCGUAAACUUCUUUUAUAUGGGAAUAAAGUUUUCCACGUGUGGAAUUUUGUAUGUACCAUAUGAAUAAGGAUCGGCUAACUCCGUGCCAGCAGCCGCGGUAAUACGGAGGAUCCGAGCGUUAUCCGGAUUUAUUGGGUUUAAAGGGAGCGUAGGUGGAUUGUUAAGUCAGUUGUGAAAGUUUGCGGCUCAACCGUAAAAUUGCAGUUGAAACUGGCAGUCUUGAGUGCAGUAGAGGUGGGCGGAAUUCGUGGUGUAGCGGUGAAAUGCUUAGAUAUCACGAAGAACUCCGAUUGCGAAGGCAGCUCACUAGACUGUCACUGACACUGAUGCUCGAAAGUGUGGGUAUC
rnacentral:rRNA from 1 species